UACGAAGGGGGCUAGCGUUGCUCGGAAUCACUGGGCGUAAAGCGCACGUAGGCGGACUCUUAAGUCGGUGGUGAAAUCCUGGAGCUCAACUCCAGAACUGCCUUCGAUACUGGGAGUCUCGAGUCCGGGAGAGGUGAGUUGAACUGCGAGUGUAGAGGUGAAAUUCGUAGAUAUUCGCAAGAACACCAGUGGCGAAGGCGGCUCACUGGCCCGGUACUGACGCUGAGGUGCGAAAGCGUGGGGAGCGAACAGG
rnacentral:rRNA from 1 species